GCCAGACUCCUACGGGAGGCAGCAGUGGGGGAUAUUGCACAAUGGGGGAAACCCUGAUGCAGCGACACCGCGUGGGUGAAGAAGCGCUUCGGCGUGUAAAGCCCUAUCAGUGGGGAAGAAAAUGACGGUACCUGAAUAAGAAGCCCCGGCUAACUACGUGCCAGCAGCCGCGGUAAUACGUAGGGGGCAAGCGUUAUCCGGAUUUACUGGGUGUAAAGGGAGCGUAGACGGCAGUGCAAGUCUGGAGUGAAAGGCGGGGGCUCAACCCCCGGACUGCUCUGGAAACUGUACGGCUGGAGUGCAGGAGAGGUAAGUGGAAUUCCUAGUGUAGCGGUGAAAUGCGUAGAUAUUAGGAGGAACACCAGUGGCGAAGGCGGCUUACUGGACUGUAACUGGCGUUGAGGCUCGAAAGCGUGGGGAGCAAACAGGAUUAGAUACCCCAGUA
rnacentral:rRNA from 1 species